rnacentral:rRNA from 1 species
UACGUAGGGGGCAAGCGUUAUCCGGAUUUACUGGGUGUAAAGGGAGCGUAGACGGCGCGGCAAGUCCGGAGUGAAAUCCCAGGGCCCAACCCUGGGGCUGCUCUGGAAACUGCCGGGCUGGAGUGCUGGAGGGGCAGGCGGAAUUCCUAGUGUAGCGGUGAAAUGCGUAGAUAUUAGGAGGAACACCGGUGGCGAAGGCGGCCUGCUGGACAGCGACUGACGUUGAGGCCCGAAAGCGUGGGGAGCAAACAGG